AAAGCCCCUGGCAGAGAAUAAGCAAUAGGCCUGCUGACGAGAUAUCCUGCUGUUUUCACAGAAGUGUACGAGUCUCCCACCCUCGAUACAGCAGGAGAAAGCUGCAAGGACCGUGCAAUAGAGGUGAAAGCAGCAGUUUCAAACCCAGCUGGGAAAGAGCAGCUUGUCCUUCAGCAUUCCUGGGAUGCAACGCGGUGACGUUUCCAAUUAUUCACUCUCUCCGAAGCGAUGACGACGAUUUCUUUGGCUGCUCUUCUGGCUUUUCUCAUUCGCAGCAGUCUGCAGCCAAGGUUUAAUGUGCUGUCAAAAGUCUUCCUGCCCCUCCCCUCAUAUUGCUGACAUGGUUUCACGGAGCCAACAGAAGGAAGGGUGCGGGUCCCCGGAGCGUCCUAGCCGAGCACAGAUGACUGGGUCUUAGCUCGGGGUCAGGGGACCCCAAAUAGCUGCCUCCUGUGCUGGGUGGGACUCCUCUGCCAUCUGUGACCUUUCAGACUGUAACUGGAGUUCAGGAAAUAAAGCUGCUGGCUCCGUUUCCACAUGUGACGUUAGAUACUGCACAAUUGCAUCCAACCAAGGGGGCUGAAGCAAGACCGAGCAGACAGCGAGCUCCACUUGAAAGUUUUGCUGAAGUAGCUCCAUCCAUAAAGGACGUGAUUUCUGCCAGCAAUAGCGCUCUGGCCAAACCCUGGCACUAGCAGAGCUCUAGCAACACAAAGUCCCUCUGCCAGGCUAAGAUGCCUGCGCACAAGGAGACUUUGUCAGCACAGCUAAACCAGAAGCCUCUCAGGCGGACAGGAGGCCUUGCAGCUGUGCUUUGAGGCUCUGCUGUUUUAGGAGGUUGCCUCACCUCUUGAAUUCGAUCCUGGGACAACCAGGCCCCCUUCUCUGACACAAGGACUCUCCCUGGUUUCCUGUAGUAAAGGAUUAAACUGCAUAUUUCCCAUCCAUGCUACUGCAAGCAUUGUGGGGUAUUCCAACUGCAACUGCAGAAACAUCUGGCAGGCCUGAUGUGCAGACCAGGGCCAAGAUUUCCUGUUGAACAUCGCUAAUGUAAGUGCUGCUCUGCACUGAAUAAAUACCACCGGUAAAGGAAGAGUCUGCCCACCCUGGGCCAGCUUUGCAAGGGAAGGAAUUUGCUCCACUGGUGGCAGGAGUCAGUGGAUUUCACUUCAGUCCUUCAUGGAUGAAUAUCCACGUUACAAACCCCACCACCACGAGCACUACCUGAUGCUAUAGUGGCAGAAUCAGUCCAGAGACUGGAAGGGCACCAGAGACUUUACUACUCUAGCUACAGGUCAAACUAAAGGCAUUUUGGGGCAGAACAGACUGAUGUUAGGCAAUGCCUCUUGUUCAUUUUUAAGGGCUGACAAUCCUCCAUGAACAUUAAAGGCCCUUUCCUUGUUGAACAAGAGGAAUUCAGCUAUUGUUUAAAGUGGGAACAGAAUUGGGCUAAAAAUACCCCGUCUGUCUCAUACAGAACUUCCGCCAACUUCUUCAAUUUCUUCCUUCUUUGAAAGACUAUUUUAGGAGACAGUUGUGGGAGAGAAGAGCACCAUCAAUGAGUCACACGCCACCGUGCUGAGAAUAUAACAAAGCAUCUCUUUUACUAACAGAGAAAAACAUUUGGGGUUAUUGCCAUAGUACUACUAAUGAUCUGGGUUCUCUACUUGUAGGUGGCUGUUAAUAUUUUGGGGUUAGAUGGGAGGGCAAGGAUAAUUUUUAUCACUUAAGGUUAUAUAUAUUAACACACACACACACACACACACACACACACAUAUAUAUAUAUAUAUAUAUAUAUAUAUAUAUAUAUACACACACAUACAUACACACAUACAUACAUACACAUACACACACAUACAUACAUACAUAGCGAUUCAUUUUGUUUGCUCUGUGCAAUCACCUUGAGCAAAGAGAAAUUUGCCUGGAAUAAUGUAUUUAUUUAGAUACUUUAACCCUGCAGGUACAGAUGAUUUACACUGAUCCGAGCUGAAUAUUCAAAGGUCUAGUUACGAACUGACAGAGCCGGGGAAGGAAGAGUGAUGGGACUGCCUGUGUUCAGAGCUGUGUCUCCGAAGUGGAGAAUUCAUAAAUAUGCACGCUUCCCGAUCACCUGUCCCUCGCGUGAUUUCUUUGCUCCUCCUUUGAUUUGCAAGAGUCCUAGAUCUUGUGAUUCGCACUUUGAUAUUGUGACAAUUUUUGGAAAGCUGGAGGAGGCAAGUGCACUCUAGGAGAAAUGAACUGCCCAUUCUUCCGCUGUUCACAGAUGACCUUACGGUGGGCUAUAUUUAACCUGUACGGAGAGGGACAUCGUUCUGCAUUAUCUGAGAAUCGUAAUAUUAAAGCCUGAGCCAGGCUCUACAAACCCCAAGCAUUAGGGGAACUAGGACAAACUGUGGGCUCUAUUGCCAGUCAUCUGAGGCUGAAAAUGGCUGGAAGUCAUGGAUUUCCAGUUGUCCAGUAAUUUGGUUCAAUUUAGUUAAACCCGUAUAAAUGUGCUUGUGCCAUUACAGCUAUGGAAAGGAAAAUCCUUAGGGUUGGAUCAGAUCACCCUAUUGAUAAAAACCAAGCCUAGCCCCAUACUUAGAGGUAUAAAAACUGCAUACGGCCAAAAUGAAGGGGUGUCUUCACAACUGACGUCUAUGUCGCGAACUGGCAGGUAUCUGGGCGGUAGCCGUAUUGGUCGCGAGCAGUGUUUCUCAACCUUUUAAGUAGCAAGUACCCCCUAACUUCUGAAAAUGUUAAUAAGUACCCCAACACUCAAUUUUCCAGGGGAUUUUAUAUUUACAGCUUAAUGUGUGCCAUAUGUUGGAAGAAGGGCUAUAUAUAUAAGCCCAUGCUAUGACAGAUGUCUGAUCUGGUGUGAGUAGGGUUGCCACUUUGUACACCAGGGGUGCACAACUCAAGUAUGUACCUGGGCUAGAGGUGAUGUUGGCCAAAGCUAGGAGAGCUGAACACCAAAUUAUUACUGGGGAAUUUAAAGUGCCGUGUAAUGUGCAGUGCACCAAAUUUUUUGCCAUAGUUUUAAAAGGAAAAGAGGGCGAGAGAGAGCGAGUGUUGGGGUACCCACAUACCCGCUGCCUAUGACUCGCAUACCCCCAGGGGUAUGCGUACCACAGGUUGAGAAACUAUGGUCUAGAGGCAAAAGGAACCAGAACUCGUGGUAGAGGCGAUAUCUUUUAUUAGACCAAAUAGAUUUUUGCAAAAAAAAUUUCUUUUUUAUGUCACAAACUGGCAGGACUGGGCAGUCCCAUCAGAGGGAGCAAGGAGUGCCAUGGAGGCUGAAGUCCCCUCUGAUGAGUGCAGCAGAAGAUGCUCCAGGUGGUCCAUGUUGUGGACCGUGGUGGCUCAGUGCUCACCUGGCAGCUACAACUGGAUUUUGGCUGGGCAUCCCAAGCCUGUUCCCUAGCACUGACACUGCUUGGCGGAGAAGCUCAUGAGAAAGCACUGACCAAGGGCUCAUUGCACUGGGAUUUUUCCCUCGGAGGGGGCAAAUCAGGGAGGAUUCUUCGUAUCUCAGCCAAUGGGACUCUAAACGAGGAGCAGCUGCGAGCGUGACCCGCCCUGCCGUGGGCAAACGUCCAAGCAUGCUUCAGCCUCUCCGCUGGAUCUUUGCAACCCAACUGUGCCCACGGGCCGCCGCGUGGACUUGGAACAAGGGGAUUUUUGUUUGGGAUUUGAACCUGACUCAUCAGCAAUGUUUCCACAGGGAAACGCGCAGAAGGCCUAGGCUGGACAUCUGGUUCGAUUAAAAAGUGACCCUGUUUGUAUGGUCUUGGAGCUCUGACAACCCGAGGCUGCGCGCUAAGCAGAUUGCAUUCUCCCUCUCUCGUUCAGAUCCUGGGCUCCUGAGCCACGGUAACCGAGUUUGAAGAGGAGAGGUUAAAAUCUUCCAGGAAGAGGAGCCCUGCAUGCUUCCCCUCUGAGGGAAGGAGCUGCUGAUUUCAUUUCUGGACCCUGCCGACCCUCCCUCCAACUGGAGCGGGAAUGUGGCGUGGGAACAGGCAAGCACGAGCCAAGGCUGCAGACGGGGCUGUGUGCUAAAAGACUGCAGCAACACACGAAACCCGUCUGGUUUGGGCUCAGCCGCUCGCUCAGGACUCGUGCCGGGGCUUUGAAUGCAGCCGGAGUGACAGGAGAAAGGACAGCAAGCCAGGCAUCCUUUCUGGGCAUACAAAAUUGUGGGCACACAUUUUGUAGGUUCAAAUGACCUGACAUAGGUUAGGGGAGGGGGUGUCUCGCAGGGAGACUUCAUCCAGGCUUUUCCUGCGGGUUAAGCAAGCUAGACUGCGCCUGGGCAGGAGCUUUCUCCUCUUGCAGUUAAGCAAUAUUUUAAAAAGGCAUUCGACUCAUUUGAGCAGAGCUGGUCUUUGCAUCCAACCAAGUUUCGUACAAAUUGAUAUAUCUACAGCCCAUUUUUUUUUUUUACAUCAUUGGCUGCACACCAGCUUUUGCUGAAACAAGCAGUAAAAUCUUUAUAAUGAAACUAACCUUCAAAGGGAAAACAAAAUGUACCAGCACAUCAAAAUGGCAAUUUAUAAAGAAAAUAGCAGCUCACGCCUCUUUUAAAAUACCUCAUUGGCCUCCUGCCCCCAUGGCAAGCCCUGUCAUUUGGUUGCUCCUUAAUCAGAAAGUGAAUUCUGACAACUAUUUCAUCCAGCCAACAACCUUGAAAAAUUAUGCUGUGGGAUAGAUAUUGAUCCCACUACCUUUAUCAACCAUCCUUUCCCAGUGGGACCCGAUUGCGGUAGAAGCUCACUAAUCCAUGCACAUUGUAGUUCACACGCAAAACUGAGGGUCUCUGCAAAGCUUUAGUAAGGGAUGCUGUGCUGUAGCAAAGAUGGCAUUUACAUAAAACACACCGCAGCAUGUGCGCAUGAGAAAAGAUCAUUCGUUGUUAUUAACUGUAUUGCAAUAAAGCCUAGGAGCCCGAGUCAUGGACAA